rnacentral:pre_miRNA from 11 species
GACCGCACGGAAAAAUCCAUCUUCCCGUGCGAUCGGUAUAAAUGGAUCGCACGGGAUAAUCGAUUAUCCCGUGUGAUC